rnacentral:rRNA from 1 species
UAGGGAAUCUUCGGCAAUGGACGAAAGUCUGACCGAGCAACGCCGCGUGAGUGAAGAAGGUUUUCGGAUCGUAAAACUCUGUUGUUAGAGAAGAACAAGGACGUUAGUAACUGAACGUCCCCUGACGGUAUCUAACCAGAAAGCCACGGCUAACUACGUGCCAGCAGCCGCGGUAAUACGUAGGUGGCAAGCGUUGUCCGGAUUUAUUGGGCGUAAAGCGAGCGCAGGCGGUUUCUUAAGUCUGAUGUGAAAGCCCCCGGCUCAACCGGGGAGGGUCAUUGGAAACUGGGGGACUUGAGUGCAGAAGAGGAGAGUGGAAUUCCAUGUGUAGCGGUGAAAUGCGUAGAUAUAUGGAGGAACACCAGUGGCGAAGGCGGCUCUCUGGUCUGUAACUGAAGCUGAGGCUCGAAAGCGUGGGGAGCAAACAGG